UGGGCCCGGGACGGGCGCGGACCCGGUAAUCUAACCCUGACUCGCAAGAGGCGUAGGCGCCGUGCUUUUGCUCCCCGCGCGCUGUUUUUCUCGCUGACUUUCAGCGUUCGGAAAAGCCCUGUGGCCUAUCGCCAUCCACCAUCCUUUCUGGAACAAACAGACAAAAAAAAAAAAAUGUCAGCUGCUGGUCCGUUCGCUCCUCCCGGGCCCUGCGGUGGCCGCCAGCCCGCCCUCUCAUCCCCCGCGUCCCGCCUAGAGGCCGCGGUCGGCCCGGGGCUUCUCCGGAGGUGCCCAUUGCCGCCGCGAAGAGUUAGGCUCUGUCAGCCGCGGGCUCUCGGGGGGCCCGGGGCGAGGCUUAGGCCUCGUGGCCGCAGGGACAGCAACGGAGCGGGUCCCCGCGAGCCUGUGCGCGUCCCUGAGCCGUGGGACUUGCACCGGGGACUUUGCUCGGACAAUC
rnacentral:telomerase_RNA from 1 species